rnacentral:rRNA from 1 species
GAUGAACGCUGGCGGCGUGCCUAAUACAUGCAAGUCGAGCGAACAGACGAGGAGCUUGCUCCUCUCACGUUAGCGGCGGACGGGUGAGUAACACGUGGAUAACCUACCUAUAAGACUGGGAUAACUUCGGGAAACCGGCGCUAAUACCGGAUAAUAUAUUGAACCGCAUGGUUCAAUAGUGAAAGACGGUUUUGCUGUCUCUUAUAGAUGGAUCCGCGCCGCAUUAGCUAGUUGGUAAGUUAACGGCUUACCAAGGCAACGAUGCGUAGCCGACCUGAGAGGGUGAUCGGCCACACUAGAACUGAGACACGGUCCAGACUCCUACGGGAGGCAGCAGUAGGGAAUCUUCCGCAAUGGGCGAGAGCCUGACAGAGCAACGCCGCGUGAGAGAUGAAGGUCUUCGGAUCGUAAAAAUCUGUUAUUAGGGAAGAACAAAUGUGUAAGUAACUAUGCACGUCUUGACGGUACCUAAUCAGAAAGCCACGGCUAACUACGUG